AUAGGAAAAACCAUAGGUGUUGUGAAGUUUUAAAAUGUGCUGUUUUCUUAUUAAAUACAAUUGUUUUUAGAUACAAGUAUAACUCAUAUAAUUUUUCCUACCAGUGAUUAGAAUUUUCCACCAUGCAAAGUAAACUUCCGCUCUUUAUUUUGUGUACAAUGUCAGUAUUGCCGCAACCAUUCUGCCAGAGAUAAAGAGAUCCCAACUCUCCUGUCACUGGAAAUGUGAGAACCGCUCACCUACCGAACUUUGGCAGUUGACUGGAUUGGGUAGGUUUUGACGUUUUGCAAUUGGAAUGACUGGGACGGCCAGAUUGAAAUUAUACCAAAAAUGUAUGUGAACGGAGGAAUUUGUUGCCGCUGUUCAAGAUCGCUAAUAAAAAUUUAAAAGAAAAUGCGAAAUUUAAAUAUAUUUCAUGAAACGUUUUGUAAUUUGAUGCAUAAUAGAAUUAAUUUUCAAUUACAAAUUAUUAAAAACAUUUGAUAAUUGAGAACUAACAGGCUUAA